rnacentral:lncRNA from 1 species
UAUGAAAUGAGUUUAAAAUACAGAAUAAACGAAGACUUCAUCUUUCAACAUCACUUAUGCAUUGCAAGGAAUCUUCUGGAAUUUGCAGAUGAAGAGAGCUGCCUCAAAUAGUGGUAUGAAAAGUCCCUCAUUCCAUUCCAUUUAGAAAUUUGAGCCAAAGGCAAUAAACUGCAUGAAGUUCAGAGUGGCAUGGCUCGGGCUCAGAAAUCUUACAUCCAGGUGGAGACCACGAUGCUGGCUCGACUGGACAGGAUCAGGAAUGGAUUGCCGAUCAGGAACAAGUCCUUCAGGAU